rnacentral:rRNA from 1 species
GGGAUAACCCUGGGAAACUGGGGCUAAUACCGGAUAGGCAAUUAUUCCUGCAAUGGUUUUUUGUUUAAAUGUUUUUCGCCUAAGGAUGGGUCUGCGGCCGAUUAGGUAGUUGGUUAGGUAAUGGCUUACCAAGCCGUUGAUCGGUACGGGUUGUGAGAGCAAGAGCCCGGAGAUGGAACCUGAGACAAGGUUCCAGGCCCUACGGGGUGCAGCAGGCGCGAAACCUCCGCAAUGUGAGAAAUCGCGACGGGGGGAUCCCAAGUGCCAUUCUUAACGGGAUGGCUUUUCAUUAGUGUAAAAAGCUUUUGGAAUAAGAGCUGGGCAAGACCGGUGCCAGCCGCCGCGGUAACACCGGCAGCUCUAGUGGUAGCAAUUUUUAUUGGGCCUAAAGCGUCCGUAGCCGGUUUAAUAAGUCUCUGGUGAAAUCCUGUAGCUUAACUGUGGGAAUUGCUGGAGAUACUAUUAGACUUGAGACCGGGAGAGGUUAGAGGUACUCCCAGGGUAGAGGUGAAAUUCUGUAAUCCUGGGAGGACCGCCUGUUGCGAAGGCGUCUAACUGGAACGGUUCUGACGGUGAGGGACGAAAGUUAGGGGCGCGAACCGGAUUAGAUACCCGGGUAGUCCUAACUGUAAACGAUGCGGACUUGGUGUUGGGGUGGCUUUGAGCUGCUCCAGUGCCGAAGGGAAGCUGUUAAGUCCGCCGCCUGGGAAGUACGGUCGCAAGACUGAAACUUAA